UAUCUCUGUAGAGUCUGCAUAUCAAUAAGCGGAGGAAAAGAAACUAACUAGGAUUCCCUUAGUAACGGCGAGUGAAGCGGGAAGAGCUCAAAUUUGAAAUCUUCAAGGUUCUACCUUGACGAAUUGUAGUUUAAAGAAGUGUUUUCUGUUGGAGUUUUGGUAAAAGUUCUUUGGAAUAGGACAUCAUAGAGGGUGAGAAUCCCGUAUUUGACCAUUUCUUCCAGCUGUGUGAUACACUUUCAAAGAGUCGGAUUGUUUGGGAAUGCAGUCCAAAAUGGGUGGUAAAUUUCAUCUAAAGCUAAAUAUUGGCGAGAGACCGAUAGCGAACAAGUACCGUGAGGGAAAGAUGAAAAGAACUUUGAAAAGAGAGUUAAACAGUACGUGAAAUUGUCAAAAGGGAAGCGUUUGACACCAGUGUUGUUUUCUCGAAAAUCAAUUAAAAAUGGCCGGAUUUUGUGUUGUAUUGACUUUAUCAGCUUUCUGCACACUUUUUCUUGUCUUUUUUACUGCACUUUUCGUUUAACAAGUCAACAUCAAUUUCUUUUGUUGUAAAGAGUCAUUGGAAGGUGGCUUCCACUUCGGUGAAAGUGUUUAUAGCCUUUGACCUCUGCAAUCGGAGAGAUUGAGGUCUGCAGCGUAGAUCCUUCGGGGUUAGAUACAUUUGUGCUAAGUUAUAAUUUUUUCAUAGACAACAUGUUGACUAUAAUUAAUCAUGUAGCUUACUCGCUUAUGCUAUUUUACCUACGCUUAGGAUGUUGACGCAUGAGAUAUACGC
rnacentral:rRNA from 1 species